CACGUGUCCAGAUGUCACUACUGUCAACAACGGAAAAGCAGGUGCUCGCGCAUUCGCGCUUAGAGCACGCUGCUUCAAGGGGAAAUCAUGACACUCGAUGACUUUGCUUAGAUCCGGUAAAGCGGAUUUAGACUUGCCCGUGGCCAGAAAUAAAGAAAUGAUUGCUGGUGACUUUCUGAGAAAAGCUCACCGACUCACCAGCAGCUGCGUGGAAAUGGGAAAGUGCGUCGGCCAGGUGUCCGGCAGCCAGGAGCUUCUUCCCCAUCUCCAGGUGUAGGAAUAUGAAGGCUUGGCUACAAUGAUGUUUAAAGAAGAUAACCACAGCGCAGGACAUGGUUUCCUCACAUGCAUAUGAUAAAAUCAGCUGCUGAUUUGGUCUUUUUAAUGUGUUCUCACUGAACAUGAGACUAGUUAAGCAAUGAAGGCAAUACAUCCCAGACCAUAAUAUUUUCUGGACACAGCUUGGACACACUUUAUUUGAACUUCCAAUACACCAGGCACAAGAACAGUUUCUUUCCAGAGGCCUUCAUUCAUGGCCCUUAAAGAGUAUUCUUAAUCUUCAAUACAAUGUCACUGUAACCUGUGAUAUACAUAUCAGUUAUUGUAUAAACGAUUACAAUUAUUUAUUAUACAUAUUUUUUGCAUUUAGCAAUUUCAUUAUUUACAUAUAAGUCAUAUAUUACAAGGAACAACUCCAAUUUAUUGUUGUUGUUUUGUUGUGUUUAUCUAGGCAAGUUAAUAUUAACUAUGUAAACACAACAAAACAACAACAACCAUAAAUUGGUUAUAGAUAUUGCGAUAAAUUAGGUCACAAUACACUUUUCUAUGAUGUUGUAGGUAAGGUGAUAUCCAUCCAUCCAUCCAUCCAUCUUCAAUACCACUUAUCCUUCAGGGUCACGGGGAACCUGGCGCCUAUCCCAGGGAGCAUCGGGCACAAGUAUAUCCAUUCAUACACUACGGACACUUUUAGACAUGCCAAUCAGCCUGCCAUGCAUGUCUUUGGACUGGGGGAGGAAACCAGAGUACCCGGAGGAAACCCCCACAGCACGGGGAGAACAUGAAAACUCCGCACACACAGGGCCGCAGUGGGAAUCGAGCCCCCGACCCCGGAGUGAGGCGAACGUGCUAACCGUUAAGCCACCAUCCACCUGGUAUUGUGAUAUCUUUUUUUAGUAAUUACAAAAUAAAUAGAAUUGAAUGAAAGCAGCUAAUUAUAUGUAAAUUUGCUGAUGUUUUUAAAAAGCCUAA